rnacentral:misc_RNA from 1 species
CAGAGAACUUGCCCUUCGGGGUAAAUCUCCCACCCUAUGUUUACAUACCUUUGUUGCUUUGGCGAGCCCGUCUCACGGCCACCGGCUCUUAGCUGGUCAGUGCUCGCCAGAGGACCCAAAACUCUAAAUUAUAUGUCGUCUGAGUACUAUAUAAUAGUUA